GGUUCGAUCAUGGCUCAGAUUGAACGCUGGCGGAUGUUUUUUACACAUGCAAGUCGAACGGCAGCACGGACUUCCGGUCUGGUGGCGAGUGGCGAACGGGUGAGUAAUGUAUCGGAACGUGCCUAGUAGCGGGGGGAUAACUACGCGAAAGCGUAGCCAAUACCGCAUACCGCCCUUCGGGGGAAAGCGGGGGACCUUCGGGCCUCGCACUAUUAGAGCGGCCGAUAUCGGAUUAGCUAGUUGGUGGGGUAACGGCUCACCAAGGCGACGAUCCGUAGCUGGUUUGAGAGGACGACCAGCCACACUGGGACUGAGACACGGCCCAGACUCCUACGGGAGGCAGCAGGGGGAACUUGGACAAUGGGGAAACUCCCAGCCAUCCCGCGUGUGCGAUGAAGGCCUUCGGUUGUGGUGCCACCCCGGGCAGGAAGAAACGCAGGCACGGAUAAUACCUGUGCAACUGACGGUACCUGCAGAAUAAGCACCGGCUAACUACGUGCCAGCAGCCGCGGUAAUACGUAGGUGCAAGCGUUAAUCGGAAUACUGGGCGUAAAGCGUGCGCAGGCGGUUCGGAAAGAAAGAUGUGAAAUCCCAGAGCUUAACUUUGGAACUGCAUUUUUAACUACCGAGCUAGAGUGUGCCAGAGGGAGGUGGAAUUCCGCGUGUAGCAGUGAAAUGCGUAGAUAUGCGGAGGAACACCGAUGGCGAAGGCGGCCUCCUGGGAUAACACCGGACGCUCAUGCACGAAAGCGUGGGGAGCAAACAGGAUUAGAUACCCUGGUAGUCCACGCCCUAAACGAUGUCAACUAGCUGUUGGGGCCUUCGGGCCUUGUAGCGCAGCUAACGCGUGAAGUUGACCGCCUGGGGAGUACGGUCGCAAGAUUAAAACUCAAAGGAAUUGACGGGGACCCGCACAGCGGUGGAUGAUGUGGAUUAAUUCGAUGCAACGCGAAAACCUUACCUACCCUUGACAUGUCUGGAAUCCCGAAGAGAUUUGGGAGUGCUCGCAAGAGAACCGGAACACAGGUGCUGCAUGGCUGUCGUCAGCUCGUGUCGUGAGAUGCUGGGUUAAGUCCCGCAACGAGCGCAACCUUGUCAUUAGUUGCUACGAAAGGGCACCCUAAUGAGACUGCCGGUGACAAACCGGAGGAAGGUGGGGAUGCACGUCAAGUCCUCAUGGCUUCUGCGGCAGGGUCCACACGUCAUACAAUGGUCGGGACAGAGGUCACAACUCCGCGAGGGGGAGCCAAUCCCAGAAACCCGAUCGAACUGGAUCGCAGUCUGCAACUCGACUGCGUGAAGUCGGAAUCGCUAGUAAUCGCGGACUGCAUGUCGCGGUGAAUACGUUCCCGGGUCUUGUACACACUGCCCGUCACACCAUGGGAGUGGGUUUUACCAGAAGUAGUUAGCCUAACCGUAAGGAGGGCGACACGGGUAGGAUUCACGACUGGGGUGAAGUCGCACACAGUAAA
rnacentral:rRNA from 1 species